UAGGGAAUCUUCCGCAAUGGGCGAAAGCCUGACGGAGCAACGCCGCGUGAGUGAUGAAGGUCUUCGGAUCGUAAAACUCUGUUAUUAGGGAAGAACAUAUGUGUAAGUAACUGUGCACAUCUUGACGGUACCUAAUCAGAAAGCCACGGCUAACUACGUGCCAGCAGCCGCGGUAAUACGUAGGUGGCAAGCGUUAUCCGGAAUUAUUGGGCGUAAAGCGCGCGUAGGCGGUUUUUUAAGUCUGAUGUGAAAGCCCACGGCUCAACCGUGGAGGGUCAUUGGAAACUGGAAAACUUGAGUGCAGAAGAGGAAAGUGGAAUUCCAUGUGUAGCGGUGAAAUGCGCAGAGAUAUAGAGGAACACCAGUGGCGAAGGCGACUUUCUGGUCUGUAACUGACGCUGAUGUGCGAAAGCGUGGGGAUCAAACA
rnacentral:rRNA from 1 species